rnacentral:tRNA from 1 species
UCUCUCGUAGCUUAGAGUUAGAACAUUGACGAGUAAAGCCAAAGGUCCCGGGUUCGAUUCCCGGCGAGGGGU